rnacentral:lncRNA from 1 species
AAAAAAACUAUUAUUUAGUUUGAUCAUCAUAGAAAUUUUAAAAUUACACUAUAUAACACAAAUUUAAAUAUUAUUUAUUUUAAAAAUAACUAUAUAUAUAUAAUUUUUAUUUUUAAAUUUAGUUUGCUAAUUAACACGUGCAGCGCUCGUUUGUAGACUAGUAUAUAUAUAUAUAUAUAUAUAUAUAUAUAGAAUUAUGCUACUAUACUAUCAAUAGUACCAAGCCUUUGGUACUAUUGAGUUUUCGGCCGUUGGAUGAAAAAAUGAGCGGUUAGGAUGAUAGUGGUCCCCAGUUAAAUUGAUAGUGGUCCCCUAGGGUUGAGUGGGUGGUUGGUUUAAUAGUAUAAUCUAACGGAUGGAAAUGAUCAAAGGGUAGAUCUAAUGGUAGAAAACUCAAUAGUACCAAGGGCUUGAUACUAUCGUUAGUCUAGUAGCCGGACUCUAUAUAUAUAUAUAUAAACAGGUGGUCCACCGAGGUUAUGUCCAACUCGUCGAGUUUUUACCGUAGCGGCCCUUUUAAUUAGGGGUGGAACUGGGUCGGGCUUGGGUCGAGUAUUACUAUGCCCAAGCCCGGCCCAAAAAAAAUGUUGGGCUUCGUGUCGGGCUUUUAGCCAAUUUUUUAAAAAAAUUAAGGCCCGGCCCAAGCCCAAACCCAAUGCCCAAUACCCAUCAGGCUUUCUGGAAGCCUAUUUUAUGCAUUUAUCAUAUAAUACAUAAAUACUUUUAUUUGUAUAAAAUUAAAAUAAAAUACCUAUUUUUAGUUUUAUCACAUCAAAGAAAUUAAUAUCUAACAUCAAAUAUAUCAUAAUAUAGAACUAAAUAUUUUGUUAAUAUAUAAUAUAUCCUCAUAUAUAUAAGCACAUAUCAUUAAUAACAAUAUAUACUAUAUAUGAUAUACUAUAAAUAAAUAAUAUAUAUAAUUAAAUAUUUUAUUUUGAUAAUUAAUA